UUGACCUCAAAUCAGGUAGGACUACCCGCUGAACUUAAGCAUAUCAAUAAGCGGAGGAAAAGAAACUAACAAGGAUUCCCUUAGUAACUGCGAGUGAAGAGGGAAAAGCUCAAAUUUAAAAUCUGGCAGUGUUUCACUGUCCGAGUUGUAACCUAGAGAAGUGUAACCUGUGCUGGACCGUGUAUAAGUUUCCUGGAAUGGAGCAUCACAGAGGGUGAGAAUCCCGUCUUUGACAUGGACUACCAGUGCAUUGUGGUUGUGCUCUCAACGAGUCGAGUUGUUUGGGAAUGCAGCUCUAAAUGGGUGGUAAAUUCCAUCUAAAGCUAAAUAUUGGCGAGAGACCGAUAGCGAACAAGUACCGUGAGGGAAAGAUGAAAAGAACUUUGGAAAGAGAGUUAAACAGUAUGUGAAAUUGUUGAAAGGGAAACGUUUGAAGUCAGUCGCGUUAGCUGGGGAUCAGCCUGACAUUGUUGGGUGCACUUCCUGGUUGACGGGCCAACAUCAGUUUUGACUGCCAGAAAAAGGCCAAGGGAAUGUGGCACCUUUGGGUGUGUUAUAGCCUUUGGUCAUAUAUGGUGGUUGGGACUGAGGAACGCAGUGUGCCGAAAGGCCGGGUUUCGACCACGUUCACACUGAGGAUGUUGGCAUAAUGGCUUUAAGCGACCCGUCUUGAAACACGGACCAAGGAGUCUAACAUGCAUGCGAGUGUUUGGGUGGAAAACCCUUACGCGUAAUGAAAGUGAAAGUUGAGAUCCCUGUCGUGGGGAGCAUCGACGCCCGGACCAGAACUUUUGUGACGGAUCUGCGGUAGAGCACGUAUGUUGGGACCCGAAAGAUGGUGAACUAUGCCUGAAUAGGGUGAAGCCAGAGGAAACUCUGGUGGAGGCUCGUAGCGAUUCUGACGUGCAAAUCGAUCGUCAAAUUUGGGUAUAGGGGCGAAAGACUAAU
rnacentral:rRNA from 1 species